GAAUCGCUAGUAAUCGUGGAUCAGAAUGCCACGGUGAAUACGUUCCCGGGCCUUGUACACACCGCCCGUCACACCAUGGGAGUGGACUGCACCAGAAGUGGUUAGCCUAACCUUCGGGAGGGCGAUCACCACGGUGUGGUUCAUGACUGGGGUGAAGUCGUAACAAGGUAGCCCUAGGGGAACCUGGGGCUGGAUCACCUCCUU
rnacentral:rRNA from 1 species